GACAGAGGAGCCAAGCGUUGUCCGGACUGACUGGGCGUAAAGCGCACGCAGGCGGCGCUGCGAGUGGGGUGUGAAAGCUCUUGGCUUAACUGAGAGAGGCCAUCCCAUACGGCAGUGCUCGAGCGGUGCAGAGGUCCGCGGAAUUGCCGGUGUAGUGGUGAAAUGCGUAGAGAUCGGCAGGAACACCCAGGGGGAAACCAGCGGACUGGGCAUCAGCUGACGCUCAGGUGCGACAGCGUGGGGAGCGAACCGG
rnacentral:rRNA from 1 species